rnacentral:rRNA from 1 species
UUCAACGGAGAGUUUGAUCCUGGCUCAGGACGAACGCUGGCGGCGUGCUUAACACAUGCAAGUCGAGCGGUAAGGCCUUUCGGGGUACACGAGCGGCGAACGGGUGAGUAACACGUGGGUGAUCUGCCCUGCACUUCGGGAUAAGCCUGGGAAACUGGGUCUAAUACCGGAUAUGACCUCCUAUCGCAUGGUGGGUGGUGGAAAGAUUUAUCGGUGCAGGA